rnacentral:rRNA from 1 species
UACAGAGGGUGCGAGCGUUGUUCGGAAUUAUUGGGCGUAAAGGGCGCGUAGGCGGCCCGGCAAGUCAACGGUGAAAGCUUGGGGCUCAACCCCGAGUCGGCCGUCGAUACUUCCGGGCUGGAGCACUGUAGAGGCAGGUGGAAUUCCAGGUGUAGCGGUGAAAUGCGUAGAUAUCUGGAGGAACACCGGUGGCGAAGGCGGCAUCCUGGACCAACACUGACACUGAGGAGCGAAAGCCAGGGGAGCAAACGGG